rnacentral:pre_miRNA from 1 species
AAUCGUGUGUCUUUAACGCGGGAAAGACACAUGUCUUUCAGUCAAAUCUAUCCAUUGAAUGAAUCACAUUAAGCCAUGCGUUCAUCUAUUAAAUUAUGGGUCGAAUACGCGGCUUAAUUCAAUACAUUCGAUUGAUCUGAUGGACGAACUUGACUGAAAGCGGCGUGUCUUUUCUGCGCCAAAGACACUCAAUU